rnacentral:lncRNA from 1 species
UUUCACUCAUAUGUCACAUAAUACACUGCAGCGAAGACACUUAACCGCCCCAUUAACAAGAAUCUAUAAUCAAGCCCCAUAUUGUGUGCACAAAGAUUUGGAGAAAUUGGCUUCAUACCUACAAAAGGAUCCCACAAAUAAGCAAGUUACAACCACAAAUUAAGGUUCCAAAAGGUUUCAAACACUACGUGAGUUGUUAUUUAUAUUCACACCCAAGGUGCAUAUUUACAAAUUCAAGAAUCAAAAUAACCUUGAACAAAAUCCCGUGAAAAUGAACAAUAAAUCUAACUUCAUUUAAUUUUCCAAAACAGAAAAUCAGAAAAAGAUAAAUCUGCAGACAUCGCAUUAAGCAUCUUUGCAUCAGAAAUUUCGAGCAUAUUUCAUAUAGCCAAGAAAGUGUAGGUGACCAAAUCCAGUUCAUCUCCACCACCGGACCAACUUUCAAGUCAUAAAGUUCAGCUCAAAACGGAACCUAAGAGAGAGAGAGAGAGUUUAGCUUAAAAAGUCAGUUGAAGAUUACACAUUUCUGCCUCUAAGGAUGUACUUUAAUACCAUAUAAGCACUAAAGAAUGCUAAAUGAUAAAGUUACCAUCAUAUUAUUAUAAAAACUUGAAAGGCAACCUCAAGAUCUUCUUCUACCCUUGGACAAAAGAGGGAUAAAUAAUCCACUCUACAGUUACCUCACAAAAAUCGCAAAAAUAUAGACACAAGGGAAAGGGAUAUUGCAUAUAAAGUUACAUCCCAACAGAAGAGCAGGCUUAAACCUCCCAAUACUAGUGAAAUCAGCAACUUAAGGAACACCCCAAGUCUACCCUGCCGAAACAACUAAAUAGGAGUAUAGAUACACCCAAAUGAGAUACAAAAAAGAACGUAGAAAAAACCAAGGCCGAACAUAGAAAACCACACUGAAAUUUGAGGUUUAAGUAAGUUGCCAAGAAAACUACAAACUCACUCUAUAGAUUAAUCAAAAACCUAAAACUCUUCAGGGAGCAAAACUUCAGACAUCUUUUUACCACCGGAAUGCCAAGCACAAUUUUUGCACUGACACUGAAAGCAGAAACAAAGCCAUUAGUCAGAGACAGUCCACACCACAGUGCCCAAACCUACUAAACGAAUUUGCUUACAGAAGAACAAAACAGAAAUAGGAAGCAAAAUCAGCACAAAGAGUUUCACUCCAAACUUGAGAAGUCACACCCACAGAUCUAUAUACAAAACACCCGAGAAUCUACACAACAGCAGAGAAAUCCUACAAUUGCAGCUCUUUGUUAGGAGGAAUAGUAACUUAACUAACCAACUUCCAAAUUCCCAAAAGAUUGACCAACAAAUACCACAAUUGUCAAAUAACCAUAAAUCUUACUUCCAGAUUCCCAAUAGAUUGACCUACAAAUACAAUAUCCAACUUGUAUCACUCAGUCAAAAUCCAAAAUCAUAAUCAAUAUACAAUAUCCAAACUGUAAGAUUCAUCAAGGAAAACCGAAGCAAAGAUAAAGAGAACCUCUGACAGAAGGCCCCUGCACCAAUCUGCUUGCCAAAUCCUUCAUAAAUGUCUUAUAUCUUUCAACUCCAAACCAAUAACCACAAACAGCAUCCAUAAUAAUUAUCUGACCCCAAAAUGUUGACAAAUCAGAGAAAUGCGAACCUUCUAAACACCUGUUCGCAACUGCUGCCAGAUAUUCCUUAUCCUUCUUCAAAUGACUUCAAACACAACAUCUACAAUGAUAAAUUAGCAUGCUCACACCAUACCUACUAAGAGCUCUAAAGCUGAAAUCUACAGAAAAAAUUACAACGUAAAGACAGAGAAAGUCUCAAAAAUCUUUGCUGAGUACAGGAUUUCCAGACCCUGAUCAUAGAAUGCCUCAUAAGUAAUAGCAAGAAGUUCAAAAAAUAUUAAAUACCAAUAGGAAUCCGCCUUAGAACUCCACCAAGCAAAAGUUCAACUCACCAAAUCCCUAAGAACAAAAUAAGCACCAACACUAACAUUAAAACAGAUAUGAAUACAAAUAUUACAAGGAAAAGAAAAUGAAGAAGCUAAAAGUGAAAAGUCCUGCAAAAACCACAAUGACCAGAGCAAGAAAGGUAGACUAAUAUAUUAAUACAGUUAGCAAUACAGAACUUGAUCUUCUCUGGUUCUCUCCCCUACUUCUAUUUCACCCUCGUUUUCCCUUGUUCCUCCCUAUUUGCUUCUGUCUAUUGCUGAUCUUCCCUCUAAAUUUCUAUUUUCUAUUUCCUUCCCCUACUGGUUCUUACAUCAAAAUAUAACAGAACUUGAAACUCUGUAAUAAAAGCCAAAAGCAGGUUCUCAACACAUACCACUCUUAGAACUACACGCACACAAACAUAAAAGAAAAGUAAUGUUCAAAAUUGAUCACUGCCUGUCAAACAUCGAGAUAAAAACCUGUUUUUGAAUUAUUAAGUAAAGAUGCUACCUACAAUCAUAAAACCAUUCAUAUAGAUAUCAAUCACAACAAGAAGAAAGUGUCCUCAGAACUGUGCCAGCUAGAAAGAACAUCUGCAUUCUACUGAAACUAGCUAGUGUAUAUAGAAAUGACAUCAGAACGUGAAACUACCACAAAAACCAGCUCUUACUUAGAGUUUAGGGUAAAUGUAAAUGUAACCCGAUAGAAUUGAAAUGGCCAUCCUCCCCUCCUCAUCUACUUACCUAAUCCCUCCAUCCCAAGUUCAUCAACAAAGAUACAAGCAUAUAAGAUCUCAUUCUCCCUGCGUAAUGCUAAUAAUCCCUAACAGCAGCCUCUGAAGACCCAAGAAUCAAGAACACGUAUGGGCAAAAAAAAGCAACCAAAAGCAACAUAUGGCUUGAAAACCUAAGAACUACAAAAACUCAGACACAAAGAAUACAAAAUAUGAAGAACAUUUGACAAAACAACCCUCUUGCAACAGCUGUGCAAUAUCCUUCAUCCUUUCUCCUUUUAGUUUUGAAAAAUGAUAACAUCAACAUCUAAAAUAAUAAAGGGUUAAUAACAUCUUAUCAUGCUCAGUAACGUAACUCCACAGGAUCCUAAAAUCUCCAAAACGAAAGACUACAAAUAAAUACAAUAAGAAGGAAACAAAUCUCAUUGAGGGUUGAAAUAGUAUUCUAAAUUCAAAAAUCCAAGAGACCCCUUAUCAAACACAACCAUAAAAGAUAUUGAAAGCAUUAAAAACUAAGAGGCCCUGAAACAAGGGUGGAAAAGUAUCAAAAAAUAACAGACAACAUAUAUAACCGUAGUAUAAAUUGUGCUAUGUGCUGAAGGUAGGAUCUAAAAUAAUAAAAGGGUCAAUAAUGCUCAGUAACAUAACUCCACAGAAUCCUAAAAGCUCCAAAACAAAAGACAGUAAAGAUAUACGAUAAGAACCAUGAAGAAGAUCUCCUUGAGAGUUGAGACAGUAUUCCAAAAUUGAAAAUCCAACAGACCCUGAUCAAACAAAACCAUAAAAGAAAUCUUGAAAAAAACUAUAUAAAUACAAUUUCUAGCAACAUACUUCAUUUCUGCUACUUAGACAUACAAAAACUAUCAACUUUCAUAACUAUGCAAAGAUCGAAAUCGGAUACUGAGAACCAAAUGGAAAACAAAACCUCAACUGACAGAACUUGUAAACUCUGCGUGGAUCUCUCCAACCUACAAACACAAACAAAUCUGAAAAGAAUAUAAAUCCCACAAUAAGAACUCAGUCGGACAUUUAUACGAACCAGUUAAAAGUACACGUCAAAAAUCCAAGAAAUGAAAGCACAACUGACAUAUAAAUUUGUGGCAGAGCUUGAAUGACCAGAAAAGUAUCAGCUACCUACAAUCACAGAGGGGCAGAUAUAGAUAUCAAUCACAAACACAAGAAAAAUAUCUGCAUAAAAUUCCUGUCUCAACUAGCAAGGACAUUCACAAUCUUUCGAAACUAGCAAGUGAUCACCGGAAUAUUUCCAAACCUAUAAAAACUAUCACACACACCUGUAGUUACGUCCACAUUCUGACACUAGCAUGCGACCACUCGAAUCUUUCAAAACCUGCACAACAACCAUACCAACUACUUAUCUCAUGUUUUAAGCAAAUGAUAGGUCAAUGCAAGACAAACAUUUAAGUGGUCUUCUAUUAUCGCUUCAUCUACUCACCAAUCCCUCCCUCCAGAGCUCCAUCCUCUAAGAUAUGAGAUAACAAUCUCAUUCUCCCACAGAAUGCAAAAUUGCUAAUAGUUCUUAAGAGCAGCUGCUGACCCAAAAACCAUAAUAGGAAAUUUCAAUACCUAAACAACAAGAAAAGAAAAAUUGUUAAGAAACUUAUCGGAUGACUUAACCCAUCUCAGCACAUAAAGAGGAUGGCGUAACCCAACUCAUCUCAGCACAUAAAGAGGAUGACUUAACCAACCUCUGCACAUUAAGAGUAACAACAUCUCGACAUUAUAAACUUCUGCAUUAUGAAAAUCCCAAAAGAAACACAACAAAAUUAAAAACCAUCUAUUGAUAUGAAAAACAGAUCUAAUCAAAAGCCUCAAAUCCAAGUAUUUUUGAGAGAUAUGAAGAACCAGGAAGCAAAUCUCCUUGAAAGUUGAGAUAGAAAUCCAAACCAAUGGAAAACUUAAAAACCAAGAGAUCCAAAGAAAGAGUAGAAUAAAAUUGUAUAAUCAGUGUAGACUUUUGUCUUAUGUGCUGAAGGUAGAAUUUCCAAGAUUGCUGUUGUCAACAACCUAUGAAAACCAUGUGUCAAGCCCAAAAACAAGAGAAAGAAAUGGUGAAAUGAAAACAAAAGCUACAAAUAACAAAAAUCUUCUACUUUUUGGGAAAGAAAUUGAAAAAAAAAAAAAGGAAGCCGAUAGUGAAGAUCCUACAAAAAAUGAAAAAGAACAAGAAGAAAAAGAAGACUUAACCACCAGACAUAAAAGCCAUUAAGCAAGAUGACGGUCACACAAAAUUUCACCCAUUUGAAGUCCUUAAUGGCCACAUCUUCCACAUGUUUAUCUUGUACCAAUGCAAUUAAAAUAUUACCAAAAUAAAGAAAAAAAAUGUGAGUAAAAUUUCUAACAAGCUUCAUGUCUGCUGCCUAUACUUUAAAAAACUAUCUACCUUCAAAGCAAUAAUGCAAAUCAGAUAUUAAAACCAAGCAAAAGCAAAAUCCUUCAUCCUUAUAAUUCUUAAAAUUGAUAUCCCCAAGCAGCAUCUUAAAAAUAAAGGGGUCAAAAAGUCAUAUCAUGCUCAGUACCAAAAUGGAGGUCGAACAAAAAUUUCAAACCUUCGGAAAAACCCUAUUCCAACUGCUGCAAGAUCCUUAUCCCUUGUCCUUUUAAUUCUGGAGAUUGAACCCCAAACAACAUUUGAAUAAUAACAGGGUCAAAAGUCAUAUCAUGCACAGUACUAAUAGAAGAGCCUCCAAAAUCAAAUUAGAGAGAUAUGAAGAACUGGAAAGCAAAAUCUCCAUGAAAGUUGAGACAGAAAAGUCUUAUACCAUCUCCUCAUCUCUUUCAAACUGCAUUCACGAAUAAAUACUAAUAAUCUUUCAUCUCCUGAAAACAGAUAACACAAAGGCCAAACAACUUAUUUUUCUUAAAAAAAAAAAAAGCUGAACAAAAAUCCAACAGCAAAAAAUGAAGACUUGUCCAUUUUUUCCAUCAGGAUGGCCAGCCAAUGAACCACUAUACAUAAUAGCCAACACCACGCAAACAGAUAUUAAGGACAAGUUUUCAAAAAAGAAGAUGAAGGUCAAACAAAAGCUCAACCAUUGUGAAGAACUUAAUGGGCCACAUCUUCCACACAUUUACCUUGUGCCAACUAAAUUAGAUAGAACAUGCUCUAACAUUGAAAAAAUUAAAAUUAAUAAAAUUUUAACAACUAUCCAAAGAUCUGAAUCAGAUACUAAGAACCAAAGAGAAAAACAAAAUUUCAACUGACACAACUUGUAAACUCUGCAUGGAUCUCUCCAACCUACAAAACAAACAAAUCCCAACAGAAUAUAAUUCCCGCACUAAAAAUUCAAACCACAAAAAAUUAGCAUAUAACAUCAACAACCAACCUAUCAUAUAAAGGCCUGCAUCUUUUUCAGUUACAUGAAUGAAAUCCAUUUGAUUUGAAAUUCUCUAACAUGUUUCAGACAUUUAUAUAAACUAGUUAAAAGUAGACCUCAAAAAUCCUAGAAAUGAAAGCACAACUGACAUGUAAAUUAGUGGCAGAGCUUGAAAAACCAGAAAAGUAUCUGCUAACUACAAUCAGAGGACACAUAGAUAUUGAUCACAAACACAAGAAAAAUGUCUGCAUAAAAUAACUACCCCAACUAACAAGGACAUUUGCAAUCUUUAAAAACUAGCAAGUGAUCACCGCAAUCUCUCCAAACGUAUAGAACCACCACACAAACCUGUACUUCUCUUGAGUUAUUUAGGCAAAUUUCAGGUAAAUGUAAGAAAGUUAAAUUUAAAGUGAUAACAGAGCUAAUAAUUUCUUGCUACAUCCCAAAGAGAUAACAGAGCUACAUAAGAUCUCAUUCUCCCUGCAUAUUGCUAAUAAUUUCUAACAGCAGCCUCUAGAGACCCCAGAAUCAAGAACUAAGCGCAGAAAGCAAACAGAAAGCAAUAUAAUACACAAAAAACUAGAAAAAUAUGAAGUCCUAAAACAAAAAAUAAAAGAAGUGCAUGAAAAACAUCUAAGAAAUAACACCCCCAUUCCAUCUGCAGCAAGAUCCUUCAUCCUUCAUCCUUGCCCUUCCUGCUGUAAAUUUUGGAAACAGAUAACACAUCAGCACCUAAAAUAAUAAAGGGUCAAAAAGUCAUAUAAUGCUCAGUGACAUUAGCUACAGAGGAUUCUAAAAACUCUAAAACUAAAGAUUUUUUAGUGAUACGAUAAUAACCAGGAAGCAAACUUCCUUGAGAGUUGAGGCAGGAUUCCAAAGUUGAAAAUGCAAGAGACCCUCAACAAACAAACCAUAAAUAGAUAUUGGAAGCAAAAAAUUCCAAGAGGUCCUAAAGAUCAUAAUCCAAAACAAUGAAACAAUUUAAAUAUGCAUUAGUCAAUAGAACUUCAAAAGCAAGAAAAAUAUCUGCAGCUGCCUACAAUCACAAAAUACAUAUCACUUUAAAA